rnacentral:rRNA from 1 species
UACAGAGGUCUCAAGGGUUGUUCGGAUUCAUUGGGCGUAAAGGGUGCGUAGGCGGCGCGGUAAGUCGGGUGUGAAAUCUUGGAGCUUAACUCCGAAACUGCAUUCGAUACUGCCGUGCUUGAGGACUGGAGAGGAGACUGGAAUUUACGGUGUAGCGGUGAAAUGCGUAGAUAUCGUAAGGAAGACCAGUGGCGAAGGCGGGUCUCUGGACAGUUCCUGACGCUGGGGCACGAAGGCCAGGGGAGCAAACGGG